rfam:Nitrospirae bacterium GWC2_57_13 gwc2_scaffold_572, whole genome shotgun sequence.
GGGGGCGACUGGUUUCGACGGGGAUCAAGAGGUCGGGAGUUGCAUGCCGAGGUGCCAUGGGGCUCGUUAAACACAUGGCAAAACACAACUGCCAAUAACCACGAACUGGCACUCGCUGCUUAAUAAGUAGCGCAUCUCCCGGCUGCCGCCCGAGCGGUUGGAGGGAUGUAAAAUUCGGGCUGGUCUUCCCGCUGUGUCCGGGGCGGGAGGAUAAGACAAUCUGGGCUGGCCGAAUCCAAAGCUUUCCCCAAGGCGCUGGAUGAGGCGAGAGCUUAAAACGAGGGGAUAAGCAUGUAUGAGCUUUCGGUUGAAGGUUUCCGGACGCGGGUUCGAUUCCCGCCGCCUCCACCA